rnacentral:rRNA from 1 species
UACGUAGGGUGCAAGCGUUAAUCGGAAUUACUGGGCGUAAAGCGUGCGCAGGCGGUUUUGUAAGUCAGAUGUGAAAUCCCCCGGGCUUAACCUGGGAACUGCGUUUGAAACUACAAGGCUAGAGUGUGGCAGAGGGGGGUGGAAUUCCGACGUGUAGCAGUGAAAUGCGUAGAGAUGUGGAGGAACACCGAUGGCGAAGGCAGCCCCCUGGGUUAACACUGACGCCCAGGCCACGAAAGCGUGG